rnacentral:lncRNA from 1 species
UAGCUGCUGGGUUUCGUCCACCUUGGACGAAAGAAAGUUGUUGUGUUCCUGAAGCCUCGCCAUGUCCUUCCGUAAGGUUGCGAUUUGGGCUGCCAGCUCGGCUUCGGCGGUUGUUUGGGUAGCGGGGGCAUUUCCGAAGGGAAUGCCUGGAGGUAGCGCUGGGCUAGCUCCGCUCUGCCUUCCGAACGGUCCUCCCUCUUCCGUUAAGAACGUAGG